rnacentral:rRNA from 1 species
AUUGAACGCUGGCGGCAGGCUUAACACAUGCAAGUCGAGCGGUAGAAAGUAGCUUGCUACUUUCGAGAGCGGCGGACGGGUGAGUAAUGCGUGGGAAUCUACCUGGUAGUGGGGGACAACAGUUGGAAACGACUGCUAAUACCGCAUACGCCCUACGGGGGAAAGCGGGGGAUCUUCGGACCUCGUGCUAUCAGAUGAGCCCGCGUGAGAUUAGCUUGUUGGUGGGGUAAAGGCCUACCAAGGCGACGAUCUCUAGCUGGUCUGAGAGGAUGAAUCAGCCACACUGGGACUGAGACACGGCCCAGACUCCUACGGGAGGCAGCAGUGGGGAAUAUUGGACAAUGGGCGCAAGCCUGAUCCAGCCAUGCCGCGUGUGUGAAGAAGGCC